rnacentral:tRNA from 1 species
GGUUAGGUAGUCUAAUUGGCUAGGACACUUGCGUGUAAAGCAAGCGAUCCGGAUUCGACUUCCGGUCGAGGUA